rnacentral:lncRNA from 1 species
UUUUUGGUUCCAUAUGAUUUUUUUUUUGGAUACACUGUAUCAUGUGUAUAUCAGUUUUUUUUUAAUAUUUUUUCUUUUAUGCUAGAAUUGUACAUGAAAGUUGCACCACCCUGACACAGGUUUAUUUUUCAAUGUAUGUAGUGUGUUUUGUUGCUUGCUGUUUAUCAUAUUUGUUUGUAUGUAGCUUUUGUAUAUAAAUCAAACUAUCAUCACUGUAGGGCUUCUCGUCUGUUUUUUUUUACAUUGACGGUGUUGCGUGCAAGGCAGAACCCUUUAUAUAGGGUGCUCAUUAUGAAGUAUUAGUUUUGAUCAUUGUUGAAGGGUGUGGAGUAACCUAUUAUAUAGCUAACAAGCACAUCACUUGGUCUACAUGGUCUAUGGUUGAUGGUUGUCUCAUCAAAAUUCAUACCACAUCUCCUUAUUCAUUUGUUAUUCAAAUUAAUGAAAACCAUGAAAAUGUGCUCAUUGUUAGAUAAAGCCGGCCAAUCAAACAUGUACACCUAACAUUCAUGUCAUAUGCCAAAAAAA